rnacentral:rRNA from 1 species
GUGGUCAAGUGAAUAAGGGCUGACGGUGGAUACCUAGGCACACAGAGGCGAAGAAGGACGUGGUUACCUACGAAAAGCUCCGGGGAGCUGGAAGCGAGCAUUGAGCCGGAGAACUCCGAAUGGGGCAACCCAAAAACGGCUGGCCGAAUAUAUAAGCCAGUACGAGCAAACCCAGCCAACUGAAACAUCUUAGUAGCUGGAGGAAGAGAAAGCAAAAGCGAUUUCCUAUGUAGCGGUGAGCGAAAGGGAAACAGCCUAAACCAUUUGUAAAAACAGAUGGGGUAGUGGGACAACCAUAAGUGACUGAGGAAGUUAGACGAAGCAGCGAGAAACUGCACCAGAGAAGGUGAAAGUCCUGUAGUCAAAAACAGAAUCAGUGACGGUUGUAUCCCGAGUAGCAUGGGGCUCGAGAAAUCCCGUGUGAAUCAGCGAGGACCACCUCGUAAGGCUAAAUACUCCUGUGUGACCGAUAGUGAACCAGUACCGCGAGGGAAAGGUGAAAAGAACCCCGGAAGGGGAGUGAAAUAGAACAUGAAACCGUCAGCUUACAAGCAAUGGGAGCUCGAUUAAACGAGUGACCGUGUGCCUGUUGAAGCAUGAGCCGGCGAGUUAUAGGCAGUGGCAGGUUAAAACCAGAAAGGUUGAAGCCAAAGCGAAAGCGAGUCUGAACAGGGCGAGUUUGUCACAGUUUAUAGACCCGAACCCUGGUGAUCUAACCAUGUCCAGGAUGAAGCUUGGGUAACACCAAGUGGAGGUCCGAACCGACUUCUGUUGAAAAAGGAGCGGAUGAGGUGUGGUUAGGGGUGAAAUGCCAAUCGAACCAGGAGCUAGCUGGUUCUCCCCGAAAUGUGUUGAGGCGCAGCGGUGAGAGUAAAAGUCUGGGGGUAAAGCACUGUUUCGGUGCGGGCUGCGAGAGCGGUACCAAAUCGAGACAAACUCUGAAUACCAGAUGGUAAUCUCACCAGUGAGACGGUGGGGGAUAAGCUUCAUCGUCGAAAGGGAAACAGCCCAGACCACCAGCUAAGGUCCCCAAAUUACCACUAAGUGAGAAAGGAAGUUGGAGUCCAUAGACAACCAGGAGGUUGGCUUAGAAGCAGCCACCCUUGAAAGAGUGCGUAAUAGCUCACUGGUCAAGGACUCUGGCACCGAAAAUGAACGGGGCUAAGUGGUAUACCGAAGCUGUGGAAUACUUUUAGUAUUGGUAGGGGAGCGUUCCGUAGUAGUAAGAAGCAUUAGCGAGAGCAGGUGUGGACGAAACGGAAGUGAGAAUGUCGGCUUGAGUAGCGAAAAUAUGUGUGAGAAUCACAUACCCCGAAACCCUAAGGGUUCCUCCGGACGGCUCGUCCGCGGAGGGUGAGUCAGGACCUAAGGCGAGGUCGAAAGGCGUAGUCGAUGGACAACGGGUGAAAAUUCCCGUACCGUCAUUGGUUGGUGCAGAGGGACGGAGAAGGCGUGAGCUAGCCGGAAGAUGGUUACCGGUGUAAGCGUUCGAGGUGUUGCGGAGCGGAGAAAACGUUCCAAGCUGAGGCGUGAGUCCGACUACCUACGGGUAGGAAGUAGUAUCUGUCAGGCUUCCAAGAAAAGCUCUAAACACCAUAAAUCAAUGAUGCCUGUACCCGAAACCGACACAGGUAGGGUGGUUGAGAAUACUCAGGGGCGCGAGAUAACUCUCUCUAAGGAACUCGGCAAAAUGGCCCCGUAACUUCGGGAGAAGGGGUGCCAGUGAAAGCUGGCCACAGUGAAGAGUCCCAGGCGACUGUUUACCAAAAACACAGGUCUCCGCAAAGUCGAAAGACGCAGUAUGGGGGCUGACGCCUGCCCAGUGCCGGAAGGUUAAAGAAGUUGGUCAGCGAAAGUGAAGCUAGCGACUGAAGCCCCGGUGAACGGCGGCCGUAACUAUAACGGUCCUAAGGUAGCGAAAUUCCUUGUCGGGUAAGUUCCGACCCGCACGAAAGGCGUAACGAUCUGGGAGCUGUCUCGGAGAGAGACUCGGCGAAAUAGAAAUGUCUGUGAAGAUACGGACUACCUGCACUUGGACAGAAAGACCCUAUGAAGCUUUACUGUAGCCUGGAAUUGGGUUCGGGCUUCUCUUGCGCAGGAUAGGUGGGAGGCGAUGAAUAGUUCCUUGUGGGGAACUAGGAGCCAUCGGUGAGAUACCACUCUAGAGAGGCUAGAAUUCUAACUUGGAGCUAUAUCAAGCCCAAAGACAGUUUCAGGGGGGCAGUUUGACUGGGGCGGUCGCCUCCUAAAAGGUAACGGAGGCGCGCAAAGGUUCCCUCAGGCUGGUUGGAAAUCAGCCGGAGAGUGUAAAGGCACAAGGGAGCUUGACUGCGAGAGAGACAACUCAAGCAGGUAGGAAACUAGGCCUUAGUGAUCCGACGGUACUGCGUGGAAAGGCCGUCGCUCAACGGAUAAAAGUUACUCUAGGGAUAACAGGCUGAUCUCCCCCAAGAGUUCACAUCGACGGGGAGGUUUGGCACCUCGAUGUCGGCUCAUCGCAACCUGGGGCGGAAGUACGUCCCAAGGGUUGGGCUGUUCGCCCAUUAAAGCGGUACGUGAGCUGGGUUCAGAACGUCGUGAGACAGUUCGGUCCAUAUCCGGUGUAGGCGCAAGAGCAUUGAGAGGAGUUCUCCCUAGUACGAGAGGACCGGGAGGAACGCACCGCUGGUGUACCUGUUAUCGUGCCAACGGUAGACGCAGGGUAGCCAAGUGCGGAGCGGAUAACCGCUGAAAGCAUCUAAGUGGGAAGCCCACCUCAAGAUGAGUGCUCUCACUACUUUAAGUAGGUAAGGUCACGGGAAGACUACCCGUUUAUAGGUGUUCGGUGGAAAUGCAGUAAUGUAUGCAGCCUAGACACACUAACAGACCGAGGACUUGACCUC